AUACGAGGGGUGCAAGCGUUAUUCGGAAUCAUUGGGCGUAAAGGGUGUGUAGACGGCAUGUUAAGUUAUCUGUUAAAUUCUUCGGCCUAACCGAAGCUCAGCAGAUAAAACUGAUAUGCUAGAGGAUGGAAGAGAAAAGUGGAAUUCUCGGAGUAGCGGUAAAAUGCGUAGAUCUCGAGAGGAACACCAAUGGCGUAAGCAGCUUUUUGGUCCAUUACUGACGUUGAAACACGAAAGCGUGGGGAGCAAACAGGAUUAGAAACCCCGGUAGUCC
rnacentral:rRNA from 1 species